UUUACUUACUGCGGAGGAGGCACAGGUGAAGUUCUAGUCCACCGUGAACCAUCGUUCUUUAAGAUGUUAUAGGGUUUCAGAUUUCUCUACGUCAGUAGUAGAAUCGGGAAAAGAUGGUUAAAGAAGAUAAUAAGAAUGGCGACGAGAGUAAUUUUGACCAAGAUAUCUCCCUUUGCUUCUUCGAAGAUCUUCAGUAGGUUUCAUUAAAGGGCACACAGGAUUCGUCGUUAAGUUUUAGAUACAGAAACUUACCGCAGAGAAAAGAUCGGCAAGGGGGUGGAUUUGAAGGAGGAUAUGACUAUCAAUGAAUUGGAAGAAUUCAUCAGCUCAGCGAGUUUGGAGGAUUUGCGCAAAGUAAAUUGGAACAAGUAUUCAAAAAACAAACUUACUUUUGCGGAAACUAGGACUCAUGAGAGUACUAAGGAAAUGGACAGGUUAGUUCGGAAGAUGAUGCUUGAUGAUAUGGAUAAGAAGAAAAAGAAGUUCGAAGAUAGGGAAGAAAAACGAAUCGAUGAUGAGAUGCGUAAGGGAAAUUGAUGAUGUUCGAAAGAAUGGAUGCCGUUCUACGAUAACUAUAAGAAUUUAUACAAGACUCUUAACAUUUUCUUAAUGAGGAAUAAAGAGGGAGUUAUGCUGAUACUUACAGGGCUUCUGGUAAGCUAAUAGGAAUAGGUUCGUUCUGUGCAAUAUUGAGCUAGGACAAAAAUACUGAAUAUGAUAGCUUUAAAAUGAGUUCUAAGGUAAAAAGUCAAUUAACGCUGGUCUUUUUUUUUUGGAAGUACAUCAAUUAACGCUGGUCUUUCCUAGCAAGGUUAAUAUUACAUGCUACAAGCAAUCCGAAUGAAGGCACUCCGAACUGUAGACAUAUUCAAAAGCAUGCUAUUGAUGUACUUCCAAAUUUUGCUUCCACAACUUAAGCUUGAAGACAGUUAGUGUAGAAUGUCCAUAAUGUCAUGCAUUGGUGUUCUGUGGUUACUGUAUCAGUUAAUUUUCCAAGUUAACACAAGAGAGUUUGGCAAUGAUCCUUGUUAUGAAUGUUUAAAUGUUAACCACAAUCAGUAUAUCUUUAAAUGC